rnacentral:rRNA from 1 species
CCUACGGGAGGCUGCAGUAGGGAAUCUUCCGCAAUGGACGAACGUCUGACGGAGCAACGCCGCGUGAGCGAAGAAGGUCUUCGGAUCGUAAAGCUCUGUUGUUAGGGAAGAACAAGUACGGGAGGAAAUGACCGUACCUUGACGGUACCUGACGAGGAAGCCACGGCUAACUACGUGCCCGCAGCCGCGGUAAUACGUAGGUGGCAAGCGUUGUCCGGCAUUGUUGGGCGUAAAUCGCGGGCAGCCGGUCUUUUAAGUCAGAUGUGACAUCGUGCGGCGCAACCGCAAGCGGUCAUUUGAAACAGACGGACUGGAGUGCGGAAGGGGAAAGCGGAAUACCACGUGCAGCGGUGAACUGCGUAGAGAUUUGCAGGAACACACGUGGCGAACGCGGCUUUCUGUUCUGUAACUUACGAUGAGGCACGAAAGCGUGAGCAGCAUACAGGACUAGAUACCCCAUUAGUC